rnacentral:rRNA from 1 species
GUGAGGAAUAUUGGUCAAUGGGCGGAAGCCUGAACCAGCCAUGCCGCGUGAAGGAAUAAGGUCCUAUGGAUCGUAAACUUCUUUUGCACGGGAGCAAUAAGGGCCACGUGUGGUCCGAUGAGAGUACCGUGCGAAUAAGCAUCGGCUAACUCCGUGCCAGCAGCCGCGGUAAUACGGAGGAUGCGAGCGUUAUCCGGAUUUAUUGGGUUUAAAGGGUGCGUAGGCUGUUUGUCAAGUCAGGGGUGAAAUACCUGGGCUCAACCGAGGAAUUGCCUUUGAUACUGGCAGGCUUGAAUACUGUUGCCGUGGGAGGAAUGAGUAGUGUAGCGGUGAAAUGCAUAGAUAUUACUCAGAACACCGAUUGCGAAGGCAUCUCACGAAACAGCGAUUGACGCUGAGGCACGAAAGCGUGGGGAUCAAACAGGAUUAGAAACCCUAGUAGUCC